CAGUAGCCACGGUAAUACGAAGGGUGCAAGCGUUACUCGGAAUUACUGGGCGUAAAGCGUGUGUAGGUGGUUGUUUAAGUCCGUCGUGAAAGCCCUGGGCUCAACCUGGGAAUUGCGAUGGAUACUGGGCGACUAGAGUGCGGUAGAGGAUAGUGGAAUUUCCGGUGUAGCAGUGAAAUGCGUAGAGAUCGGAAGGAACAUCUGUGGCGAAGGCGACUAUCUGGGCCGACACUGACACUGAGAGACGAAAGCUAGGGGAGCAAAUGGGAUUAGAUACCCCCGUAGUCCCUGUCUCUUAUAC
rnacentral:rRNA from 1 species